GUCGUUAAACCAAAUAACUUCCACACAGCAAAUAAAAACUAUCAACAAAGUAAACAAUGUACAGAAUGGGAGAAAAUAUUUGCAAGCCAUGCAUCUGACAAAGGUUUAAUAUCCAGAAGCUAUAGGGAACUUAAACAAUUCAGCAAGUAGUAACAAUCCCAUUAAAACAUGGGCGGAAGUGUGGCCUGACUAUGGGGAAGCAAAAGAAAACAAGGAAGUAUGCGACCAUGAAGCGAAUGCUUAGUCUCAGAGAUCAGAAGCUUAAAGAAAAGGAUAGAUUAAAACCUAAAAAGAGAAGAAGGAUCCCAGUGUGUUAUAGGAAAGAGGGGUUCCUCAACGCCCUUCCUAUUUUCCAAUAUGGCUAUAUAAUACACAGCUGGGCCCACCUUUCCACAUUGUCAUUGAUACCAACGUUAUCAACUUUUCCAUAAAAGCCAAACAGGACUUAGUGCAGUCAAUGAUGGACUGUCUGUAUGCCAAGUGUGUCCCUUGUAUAACUGAUUAUAUAAUGGCUGAAACUGAGAAAUUGGGCAGAAGUAUCAAGUGGCUCUAAGGAUCGCCAAGGAUCCAAGAUUUGAACGUUUACCAUGUACACACAAAGGAACCUACGCAGAUGACUGCUUAGUACAGAGAGUAACUCACCAUAAGUGUUACAUUGUGGCCACAGUUGACCCGGACCUUAAAAGAAGAAUCCAUGAGAUUCCUGGGAGUUUCUGUCACGUACAUUUCUAACCAUAGAUACAACGUUGAACAGAUGCCAGAUGAUUAUGGAGCCCCUAGAUUUUAAUUCUUACAAGACACAGUUCCUCUCUAACUUUCUUCGACCACCUUUCUCUUGUUGCCAGUUCAUUACACAUGCAAUAGCAUGAAUUAUUAUUCUGCUGACCUGUUUGCUCUAU